rnacentral:rRNA from 1 species
UACGUAGGGAGCAAGCGUUGUCCGGAAUCAUUGGGCGUAAAGCGCGCGUAAGUGGCUUCGUAAGUCCGUUGUGAAAGUCAAAGGCUCAACCUUUGAAAGCCGAUGGAUACUGUGAAGCUAGAGUACGGAAGAGGCGAGUGGAAUUCCUGGUGUAGCGGUGGAAUGCGCAGAUAUCAGGAGGAACACCGGUGGCGAAGGCGGGUCUCUGGGCCGAUACUGACGCUGAGGAGCGAAAGCGUGGGGAGCGAACAGG